rnacentral:rRNA from 1 species
UGGGGAAUAUUGGACAAUGGGCGCAAGCCUGAUCCAGCCAUACCGCGUGGGUGAAGAAGGCCUUCGGGUUGUAAAGCCCUUUUGUUGGGAAAGAAAUCCAGCUGGUUAAUACCCGGUUGGGAUGACGGUACCCAAAGAAUAAGCACCGGCUAACUUCGUGCCAGCAGCCGCGGUAAUACGAAGGGUGCAAGCGUUACUCGGAAUUACUGGGCGUAAAGCGUGCGUAGGUGGUCUUUUAAGUCCGUUGUGAAAGCCCUGGGCUCAACCUGGGAACUGCAGUGGAUACUGGGCGACUAGAAUGUGGUAGAGGGUAGCGGAAUUCCUGGUGUAGCAGUGAAAUGCGUAGAGAUCAGGAGGAACAUCCAUGGCGAAGGCAGCUACCUGGACCAACAUUGACACUGAGGCACGAAAGCGUGGGGAGCAAACA